GCUGGGUGUGGCGGUGGGCACCUAUAAUCCCAGCUACUAGGGAGGCUGAGGCGGGAGACUUGCUUGAACCCAGGAGGUGGAGGUUGCAGUGAGCCGAGAUUGCGCCACUGCACUCCAGCCUGGGUGACAGAGCAAGACUCUGCCUCAA
ensembl:misc_RNA Metazoa_SRP Metazoan signal recognition particle RNA